UGUCUGGAGCAGCAGAGGAGGACCUCCCUGAAACCAUUUUGACUCCCAAACUGACCAAAUGUUUUCUCUGCAAGGUCAAGGAAAAUGGAAAAGCCUCCCCAUUGUCUUUUCCUUCACAAAUCCUGUCUUAAGGGUAUGUCUGUGUAUGAAUAGGGUGAGCCUGUGGCCUGGCUCAGGAACUAAGUAUUUGUCACUACAAAAGACUGGCUAGGCUCCCCAGGGUAUCCAAUCAAGUAAGCAUUAACAGGUAACCUGCCAGACAGGAGAUAAACAAUGCACUCAGAUUUCUGUUGUAGACCACCCCUUUCUGUGAUGUAGGUAUGAUGUAUCUGGGGGUGGUCUUGGACUCCAGGGCGGGCAAUUUAAAAUGUCUAUAUAAGGGCAGGCACACCUUUGUUUGGGGUCCUCCUCCUUUCCUGCGUGUGAGGGGAGCACCCUGUUGCAGCAGUUCAAUAAAGAUCAGGCUUAUGAGCUGCUUUGCUUCCCAA